rnacentral:rRNA from 1 species
UGGGGAAUCUUGCGCAAUGGGGGAAACCCUGACGCAGCAACGCCGCGUGGGUGAUGAAGGCCUUCGGGUCGUAAAGCCCUGUCAGGUGGGAAGAAACUUGUGGAUGUUAAUACCAUCCACACUUGACGGUACCACCGGAGGAAGCACCGGCUAACUCCGUGCCAGCAGCCGCGGUAAUACGGAGGGUGCAAGCGUUGUUCGGAAUUAUUGGGCGUAAAGCGCGUGUAGGUGGUCAGGUAAGUCAGAUGUGAAAGCCUUCUGCUUAACAGAAGAAGUGCAUUUGAAACUGCUUGGCUAGAGUACGGGAGAGGAGAGUGGAAUUCCCGGUGUAGAGGUGAAAUUCGUAGAUAUCGGGAGGAACACCAGUGGCGAAGGCGGCUCUCUGGUCCGAUACUGACGCUGAGACGCGAAAGCGUGGGGAGCAAACAGGAUUAGAUACCCUGGUAGUCCACGCCGUAAACGAUGGGCACUAGGUGUAGGAGGUAUUGACCCCUUCUGUGCCGAAGCUAACGCAUUAAGUGCCCCGCCUGGGGAGUACGGCCGCAAGGCUA